GAUGAACGCUAGCUACAGGCUUAACACAUGCAAGUCGAGGGGUAACAAGAGGAAAGCUUGCUUUCCUUGUUGACGACCGGCGCACGGGUGAGUAACGCGUAUCCAACCUGCCUAUAACUAGGGAAUAACCUUGCGAAAGUAAGACUAAUACCCUAUGAUUUCCUUUGAUGACAUCAGAUUAGGAAUAAAGAUUUAUCGGUUAUAGAAGGGGAUGCGUCUGAUUAGCUUGUUGGCGGGGUAACGGCCCACCAAGGCAACGAUCAGUAGGGGUUCUGAGAGGAAGGUCCCCCACAUUGGAACUGAGACACGGUCCAAACUCCUACGGGAGGCAGCAGUGAGGAAUAUUGGUCAAUGGGCGGAAGCCUGAACCAGCCAAGUAGCGUGCAGGAUGACGGCCCUAUGGGUUGUAAACUGCCUUUAUACAGGAAUAAAGUUAGCCACGUGUGGUUAUUUGUAGGUACUGUAUGAAUAAGGACCGGCUAAUUCCGUGCCAGCCGCCGCAGUAAUAC
rnacentral:rRNA from 1 species